GACGAACGCUGGCGGCGUGCUUAACACAUGCAAGUCGAACGGACGAGUGAGAUAAGUUUACUUAACUCACAAGUUAGUGGCGGACGGGUGAGUAACACGUGGAUAAUCUACCUGCAACACCGGGAUAACGCUGUGAAAACGGUGCUAAUACCGGAUACGUUCCCUUGUGCGCAUGUAUGAGGGAAGAAAGCUCAGGCGGUUGCAGAUGAGUCCGCGGCUGAUUAGCUAGUUGGUGAGGUAAAGGCUCACCAAGGCGAUGAUCAGUAGCCGGCCUGAGAGGGUGAACGGCCACACUGGGACUGAGGCACGGCCCAGACUCCUACGGGAGGCAGCAGUGGGGAAUCUUCCGCAAUGGGCGCAAGCCUGACGGAGCAACGCCGCGUGGGUGAAGAAGGCCUUCGGGUUGUAAAGCCCUGUCUUAUGGGAAGAAGUCAGUGACGGUACCAUAGGAGGAAGCCACGGCUAACUACGUGCCAGCCGCCGCGGUAACACCAGUA
rnacentral:rRNA from 1 species